GACGAACCGUGCGAACGUUAUUCGGAAUCACUGGGCUUAAAGGGCGCGUAGGCGGACUGCCGCGUCCGGGGUGAAAUCCUCCGGCUCAACCGGGGAAGGGCCUCGGAUACGGGCGGUCUGGAGGGGGGUAGGGGCGUGCGGAACUGUGGGUGGAGCGGUGAAAUGCGUUGAGAUCCACAGGAACUCCGGUGGCGAAGGCGGCACGCUGGACCCCUUCUGACGCUGAGGCGCGAAAGCCAGGGGAGCGAACGGG
rnacentral:rRNA from 1 species